UACGUAGGGGGCUAGCGUUGCUCGGAAUCACUGGGCGUAAAGCGCACGUAGGCGGAUUGUUAAGUCAUGUGUGAAAUCCCUCGGCUCAACCGGGGAACGACGCAUGAAACUGACAAGCUAGAGUACCAAAGAGGGGGGUGGAAUUCCUGGUGUAGCGGUGAAAUGCGCAGAUAUCAGGAAGAACACCCGUGGCGAAGGCGGCUCUCUGGGACGGUACUGACGCUGAGACGCGAAAGCGUGGGGAGCGAACAGG
rnacentral:rRNA from 1 species